GUCGACGAUACCUUCGGGUAUAGUGGCGCACGGGUGAGUAACACGUGGGAAUAUACCUUUCAGUGGGGGAUAACAUCGGGAAACUGAUGCUAAUACCGCAUACGCCCUUAGGGGGAAAGAUUCAUCGCUGAAAGAUUAGCCCGCGUCCGAUUAGCUAGUUGGUGAGGUAAUGGCUCACCAAGGCGACGAUCGGUAGCUAGUCUGAGAGGAUGACCAGCCACACUGGGACUGAGACACGGCCCAGACUCCUACGGGAGGCAGCAGUGGGGAAUAUUGGACAAUGGGCGCAAGCCUGAUCCAGCCAUGCCGCGUGAGUGAUGAAGGCCUUAGGGUUGUAAAGCUCUUUCGACGGGGACGAUGAUGACGGUACCCGUAGAAGAAGCCCCGGCUAACUUCGUGCCAGCAGCCGCGGUAAUACGAAGGGGGCUAGCGUUGUUCGGAAUUACUGGGCGUAAAGCGCACGCAGGCGGUUCGAUUAG
rnacentral:rRNA from 1 species